GAUGAACGCUAGCUACAGGCUUAACACAUGCAAGUCGAGGGGAAACGAUGAGAGAGCUUGCUCUCUUAGGCGUCGACCGGCGCACGGGUGAGUAACGCGUAUCCAACCUACCCAUUACAGGGGGAUAACCUUGCGAAAGUAAGACUAAUACCCCAUGGCAUUUUAUGGUGGCAUCAUUAUAGGAUUAAAGAUUUAUUGGUAAUGGAUGGGGAUGCGUCUGAUUAGCUUGUUGGCGGGGUAACGGCCCACCAAGGCAACGAUCAGUAGGGGUUCUGAGAGGAAGGUCCCCCACAUUGGAACUGAGACACGGUCCAAACUCCUACGGGAGGCAGCAGUGAGGAAUAUUGGUCAAUGGGCGAGAGCUUGAACCAGCCAAGUAGCGUGCAGGAUGACGGCCCUAUGGGUUGUAAACUGCCUUUAUAGGGGAAUAAAGUGAGCUACGUGUAGUUUAUUGCAUGUACCCUAUGAAUAAGGACCGGCUAAUUCCGUG
rnacentral:rRNA from 1 species